rnacentral:rRNA from 1 species
AUGCAAGUCGUACGCACUGGCCCAACUGAUUGAUGGUGCUUGCACCUGAUUGACGAUGGAUCACCAGUGAGUGGCGGACGGGUGAGUAACACGUAGGUAACCUGCCCCGGAGCGGGGGAUAACAUUUGGAAACAGAUGCUAAUACCGCAUAACAACAAAAGCCACAUGGCUUUUGUUUGAAAGAUGGCUUUGGCUAUCACUCUGGGAUGGACCUGCGGUGCAUUAGCUAGUUGGUAAGGUAACGGCUUACCAAGGCGAUGAUGCAUAGCCGAGUUGAGAGACUGAUCGGCCACAAUGGAACUGAGACACGGUCCAUACUCCUACGGGAGGCAGCAGUAGGGAAUCUUCCACAAUGGGCGCAAGCCUGAUGGAGCAACACCGCGUGAGUGAAGAAGGGUUUCGGCUCGUAAAGCUCUGUUGUUGGAGAAGAACGUGCGUGAGAGUAACUGUUCACGCAGUGACGGUAUCCAACCAGAAAGUCACGGCUAACUACGUGCCAGCAGCCGCGGUAAUACGUAGGUGGCAAGCGUUAUCCGGAUUUAUUGGGCGUAAAGCGAGCGCAGGCGGUUGCUUAGGUCUGAUGUGAAAGCCUUCGGCUUAACCGAAGAAGUGCAUCGGAAACCGGGCGACUUGAGUGCAGAAGAGGACAGUGGAACUCCAUGUGUAGCGGUGGAAUGCGUAGAUAUAUGGAAGAACACCAGUGGCGAAGGCGGCUGUCUGGUCUGCAACUGACGCUGAGGCUCGAAAGCAUGGGUAGCGAACAGGAUUAGAUACCCUGGUAGUCCAUGCCGUAAACGAUGAGUGCUAGGUGUUGGAGGGUUUCCGCCCUUCAGUGCCGGAGCUAACGCAUUAAGCACUCCGCCUGGGGAGUACGACCGCAAGGUUGAAACUCAAAGGAAUUGACGGGGGCCCGCACAAGCGGUGGAGCAUGUGGUUUAAUUCGAAGCUACGCGAAGAACCUUACCAGGUCUUGACAUCUUGCGCUAACCUUAGAGAUAAGGCGUUCCCUUCGGGGACGCAAUGACAGGUGGUGCAUGGUCGUCGUCAGCUCGUGUCGUGAGAUGUUGGGUUAAGUCCCGCAACGAGCGCAACCCUUGUUACUAGUUGCCAGCAUUAAGUUGGGCACUCUAGUGAGACUGCCGGUGACAAACCGGAGGAAGGUGGGGACGACGUCAGAUCAUCAUGCCCCUUAUGACCUGGGCUACACACGUGCUACAAUGGACGGUACAACGAGUCGCAAACUCGCGAGAGUAAGCUAAUCUCUUAAAGCCGUUCUCAGUUCGGACUGUAGGCUGCAACUCGCCUACACGAAGUCGGAAUCGCUAGUAAUCGCGGAUCAGCAUGCCGGGGGGAGAAUACGUUCCCGGGCCUUGUACACACCGCCCGUCACACCAUGGGAGUUUGUAACGCCCAAAGUCGGUGGCCUAACCUUUAUGGAGGGA